AAAAGGUUGUUCCGUUUAUUACUGUGACCAAACAGUCUAUUUACAAAUCACGGAGACUAUUUGCGCAUUUUAUUAGCAUUAAGCAACAUUAAUAAUUAAUUUAAUAAUGUAACUAGAGUGCUUAUUUAUUACAUUUUUAAUUAAAACACGUUUUAUAUACAUAUAUUAAUAAAUCAAAGAGUCGCAAUUUUAUCGUUAACAAUGUAUGCCCUUUUUCAGACACUAGCCAAUCAUGAUGUAGCUCCUAAACUUAAAUCUCAUUGGACAGUGGAAGUGGCGCGGUAAAUUGGCGGGCUUGUUUGUUUGUGAGUAGUUUGAGAGCUACGCAAAUGCUCUAUAUAUUCUCCAGUGACUUUUUUAAGCGUAAGAGGGAAUCGCUAACAGAAACACGACGAAUGUCUGUACACACACGCUUCAGUGAAGAUCUGAUUUUGCUCAAUUUACAGUAGAAUUUCGUCAUUUUACUCUUUUGGAUGUGGAUGAAAACACUCUGAGACCAUGACGCACCGGAAGUGCUAUUAAAGCUGUUCGGCCAUGGCUCCGUCCCUCACGCCGGCCGACACCACAGAGAAGAAGCAUCCGGGCAUCAGAGCGCGGAUGUAGAGGGCCACGGUGGGCACGGGGUGGGCCAGAAACACCUCUCGGCUCUGUCUGUUCACCGAACGCACGAUCUCCUGCGCCAGGAUCUGCGGACUCACCCCGUGUGUGUUCAGCUUACUGCAGACGUCUGAAACAACAGCUCAGGUCAGGAGACACACGCAGCACUACCAAUGAACACUUCACUAGUCAAGGUGUGUGCGUGGUCCUCAGUGACUCACAGGCCCAAAUUGGGUUGGUGGGUGUGGCUUUAGUGGGUGUGGCAGUUAUGGGAGUGGCUUCAGUGGGCGUGGCGUUCUCAGCUCCAGCAUUGAUGAAGGUGUGGCUGAUGGUGCUGACGGAGAUGCCGAACUCCUCCACCUCCGCCCGCAGACAGUCAAAAAACGCCUGCACUGCAUGCUUGGACGCCGCGUCUGAAAACACAACCAGCAGUGCUCAGUCUACUACAACACAUGCUCUAUUUACUUAACCCCUGUGUGUGGUUAGAUUGGCUCUCCUUUGGUGAUGUUGGUGCUGUUUUUACCACAUUGACUUCCAUCAUA
rnacentral:lncRNA from 1 species